CAGAGUUCAUGCCCUUACGGGUAGAUCUCCCACCCUAUGUUAUUAUUACUUUGUUGCUUUGGCGGGCCGUUAGGCUCUUGGCCCGACUACCGGCUCUAGCUGGUAAGCGCCCGCCAGAGGACCCCAAACUCUGAAUAUUAGUGUCGUCUGAGUACUAUAUAAUAGUUA
rnacentral:misc_RNA from 1 species